rnacentral:rRNA from 1 species
GACGAACGCUGGCGGCGUGCUUAACACAUGCAAGUCGAACGGAAAGGCCCUGCUUGUGUGGGGUGCUCGAGUGGCGAACGGGUGAGUAACACGUGAGUAACCUGCCCUUGACUUUGGGAUAACUUCAGGAAACUGGGGCUAAUACAGGAUAGGAGCUCCUGCUGCAUGGUGGGGGUUGGAAAGUUUCGGCGGUUGGGGAUGGACGCGCGGCUUAUCAGCUUGUUGGUGGGGGAGUGGCUUACCAAGGCUUUGACGGGUAGCCGGCCUGAGAGGGUGACCGGCCACAUUGGGACUGCGAUACGGCCCAGUCUCCUACGGGAGGCAGCAGUGGGGAAUAUUGCACAAUGGGCGGAAGCCUGAUGCAGCAACGCCGCGUGCGGGAUGACGGCCUUCGGGUUGUAAACCGCUUUCGCCUGUGACGAAGCGUGAGUGACGGUAAUGGGUAAAGAAGCACCGGCUAACUACGUG